CCCGAAAGUACGACGCUCGGAUUGUGAA
rnacentral:sRNA from 1 species